rnacentral:tRNA from 1 species
GCCCGCGUGAUGGAAUUGAUAGACAUAACGGACUUAAAAUCCGUGGAGCCUAGCUCGUGCCGGUUCAAGUCCGGCCGUGGGUACCA